rnacentral:rRNA from 1 species
GAUGAACGCUGGCGGCGUGCCUAAUACAUGCAAGUCGAGCGAACAGACGAGGAGCUUGCUCCUCUGACGUUAGCGGCGGACGGGUGAGUAACACGUGGAUAACCUACCUAUAAGACUGGGAUAACUUCGGGAAACCGGAGCUAAUACCGGAUAAUAUAUUGAACCGCAAGGUUCACUAGUGAAAGACGGUUUUGCUGUUACCUAUAGAUGGAUCCGCGCCGAAUUAGCUAGUUGGUAAGGUAACGGCUUACCAAGGCAACGAUGCGUAGCCGACCUGAGAGGGUGAUCGGCCACACUGGAACUGAGACACGGUCCAGACUCCUACGGGAGGCAGCAGUAGGGAAUCUUCCGCAAUGGGCGAAAGCCUGACGGAGCAACGCCGCGUGAGUGAUGAAGGUCUUCGGAUCGUAAAACUCUGUUAUUAGGGAAGAACAAAUGUGUAAGUAACUAUGCACGUCUUGACGGUACCUAAUCAGAAAGCCACGGCUAACUACGUG